GAGUUUGAUCCUGGCUCAGAAUCAACGCUGGCGGCGUGCCUAACACAUGCAAGUCGAGCGCCCCGCAAGGGGAGCGGCGCACGGGUGAGUAACACGUAAACAAUCUACCUGGAAAUGGGGAAUAACCCGCCUAACGGCGGACUAAUACCGCAUAACGAUGGGGGUGGCAUCGCCCCUUCUCAAAAGGCUUCGGCCGUUUCCAGAUGAGUUUGCGUCCCAUUAGUUUGUUGGCGGGGUAAUGGCCCACCAAGACUACGAUGGGUAUCCGGCCUGAGAGGGUGUACGGACACAUUGGGACUGAGAUACGGCCCAGACUCCUACGGGAGGCAGCAGUAGGGAAUUUUGCGCAAUGGGGGCAACCCUGACGCAGCAACGCCAUGUGAGGGAUGAAGCAUUUCGGUGUGUAAACCUCUGUCAGCAGGGACUAAACGGCCAUUCGGUCUUUGAAUGUACCUGCAAAGG
rnacentral:rRNA from 1 species